rnacentral:rRNA from 1 species
UACGUAGGGGGCUAGCGUUGUCCGGAAUCAUUGGGCGUAAAGAGCGUGUAGGCUGCUCGGUAAGUCCGCUGUAAAAGUCAAAGGCUCAACCUUUGAAUGUCAGUGGAUACUGCCGGGCUAGAGUCCGGAAGAGGCGAGUGGAACUCCUGGUGUAGCGGUGAAAUGCGCAGAUAUCAGGAAGAACACCGGUGGCGAAGGCGGAUCUCUGGGCCUUACCUGACGCUGGAGGCGCGAAAGCUAGGGGAGCAAACAGG